AACGAACGCUGGCGGCAUGCUUAACACAUGCAAGUCGAACGAAACCUUCGUGUCUUUUUGCGCACGGCUGCUUAACGCGUGGGAACCUGCCCGUAGGUUCGGAAUACCUCCCCGAAAGGUGUGCUAAUACCGGUUAAGGUCUUCGGACCAAAGAUUUAUCGCGUUUGGAUGGGCCCGCGUUGGUUUAGCUAGUUGGUAGUGUAAAAGCCUAGCAAGGCGAGGAUCCAUAGCUGGUCUGAGAGGAGGAUCAGCCACACUGGGAAUGAGACACGGACCAGACUCCUACGGGAGGGAGCAGUGGGGAAUAUUGGACGAUGAGGGAAAACGUGACAAAGCAACGCCGCGUAAGUGAUGAAGGGCUUAGGGUUGUAAAGCUGUCUUAGACGGGAUGAUAAUGACAGUACCGGGAGAAGAAGCACCGGCUAACUACGUG
rnacentral:rRNA from 1 species